UAAAUCAAGGUGUCAGCAGGUCUGCAUUCCUCCUGGAAGCCAUAGGGGUGAAUCUGUUUCCUUGCCUUUUCCGGCUCCUAGAUGAUGCCUGCAUUCUUUGGCUUGUGGCUCUCUUUCUCCAUAUUCAAAGAAAGCAAUGUUGCAUAUCUCUGACCAUUCUUAGUCACGUAUCCUUCUGAUUCUUCUACCUCCAUCUCCCCCUUUUAAGGACCCUUGUCAUUGUAUUGGGACCACUUGGAUAAACCAGAAUAAUUUCUCUAUAUUCAGAUCAGCUGCUUAGCAACCUUAAUUCCAGCUUCUGCCUUCAUUCCCUAUAUCCAUCAGCAGCAAAGGGGGACAGCUGGCCCCUUAGGUUUGCCCUUGAAAGAAAACAUGCUGGCCGGCCUCCCUCCAGACAAGCCCUGUGAGUGCCUUUGUGAGGACAAAAUCUUCAUGCUAAUCCAUCCUUCUAUGGGGAACAGCAAAGAAAGGUAUCCCAGUUGAGGCAAUAAAUGAUGUGGUCAGUUAACCAAAAAAAUGGGAUUCAUUGUAAGUAUACACGGGAAAGUAAAAAAGCACAAGCGACACUAUCAGCCAUCAAAUGGCCAGGCAAGAUGGAAAGGUGGAACUUUGUUCAGAAUGCCAGAGCACUCUAGAGACCCAAUGGUAACUCUCUAUAUUCAGGGAGCA
rnacentral:lncRNA from 1 species